GACGAACGCUGGCGGCGUGCUUAACACAUGCAAGUCGAACGGUAAGGCCCUUCGGGUACACGAGUGGCGAACGGGUGAGUAACACGUGGGUGAUCUGCCUGCACUUCGGGAUAAGCCUGGGAAACUGGGUCUAAUACCGGAUAGGACCAUGGACUUCACGGUUUGUGGUGGAAAGCUUUUGCGGUGUGGGAUGGGCCCGCGGCCUAUCAGCUUGUUGGUGGGGUAAUGGCCUACCAAGGCGACGACGGGUAGCCGGCCUGAGAGGGUGUCCGGCCACACUGGGACUGAGAUACGGUCCCAGACUCCUACGGGAGGCAGCAGUGGGAAUAUUGCACAAUGGGCGCAAGCCUGAUGCAGCGACGCCGCGUGAGGGAUGACGG
rnacentral:rRNA from 1 species